AGUCGAACGAUGAGGCUGGAGCUUGCUCCAGUUGAUUAGUGGCGAACGGGUGAGUAACACGUGAGCAAUCUGCCCUUGACUCUGGGAUAACUGCGGGAAACUGUAGCUAAUACCGGAUACUUUCACCGGGGGGCAUCCUCUGGUGAUGAAAGAAUUUCGGUAAAGGAUGAGCUCGCGGCCUAUCAGCUUGUUGGUGAGGUAACGGCUCACCGAGGAAACGACGGGUAGCCGGCCUGAGAGGGCGACCGGCCACACUUUUCCUGAGACACGGGACAGACUCCUAC
rnacentral:rRNA from 1 species